AUUGAACGCUGGCGGCAGGCUUAACACAUGCAAGUCGCACGAGUGGCGGACGGGUUAGUAAUGCUUGGGAAUCUCGCUUAUGGAGGGGGAUCACUCCGGGAACCUGUAGCUAAUACCGCGUACCAUAGGAUGAGCCCAAGUGGGCUUAGGUAGUUGGUGAGGUGAAGGCUGACCAACCCGACGAUCUCUAGCUGGUCUGAGAGGAUGACAAGCCACACUGGGACUGAGACACGGCCCAGACUCCUACGGGAGGCAGCAGUGGGGAAUUAUGGACAAUGGGGGAAGCCUGAACCAGGCAUCCCGCGUGUGAGAGUAAGGCCUUCGGGUUGUAAGGCACGUUUGGCAGGAAAGCGGUACCGGAAUAGAAAGCCACGGCUAACUACGUGCCAGCCGCCGCGGUAAUUC
rnacentral:rRNA from 1 species